rnacentral:rRNA from 1 species
UACGUAGGGGGCUAGCGUUGUCCGGAAUCAUUGGGCGUAAAGCGCGUGUAGGCGGCCCGGUAAGUCCGCUGUGAAAGUCGGGGGCUCAACCCUCGGAUGCCGGUGGAUACUGUCGGGCUAGAGUGCGGAAGAGGCGAGUGGAAUUCCUGGUGUAGCGGUGGAAUGCGCAGAUAUCAGGAGGAACACCAAUAGCGAAGGCAGCUCGCUGGGACGUUACUGACACUAAGGCGCGAAAGCGUGGGGAGCGAACAGG